UCUGAAGAGAGUUAAAACGGAUUAACACACAUUAAGAUUUAUGAUGAAAAAGGUUAAAAGGUGAACUACUUUAGUAUAUUAAGUAUGCUUAAAAAUGUUGAACAGGUAGCAAAAAUAAACUUUUGGGUUAUGCUUCAAAUGAAGAAGUUGGCUAUAAUUAUGGCUAAAGUUGUUCCUGCAGGUUAUGAUCUUUAUUUCCAAAUCCUAGUCUACAGCAAGUUCAUUUGAAUAAAUACUCAACCUUGGCAGCCUUGGUGAAGAUAAGGAUUGCCCUCAUAGCCUUGAGAGCAGUUGCACAGGGACACCUCUAGUAGCUCUUUCGUUGAUGAACCCAAGGUUGCCGACAAGGUCCUGCCUCCUGAAGCUGUACCACCCGACCUCGGCAAGCAUCGCAUAGAAGCAUGGGUUGAAGUUCCACACGCUGCUCUGGCUAACUGCGAUUAACGCUGAGAAUUCUGUGAGGUUGGGGGAGAUGGUGGUCUCGCAGCAUCCCGUCCCGGUGCAUGGUGCACCGUCAGAUGCGCUGUUGAUGCCUUGGCAGUAGGAGUAGCAGCCGGCGACAUACAGGUCAGGGUUGCUGCCCAUGUAGCCUCCGAUGAUCCCCAGGGUGUUGCAGCCGAUGACCAUGAAGCGGUUGCGAGUGGUGGAGGGGAUGAAUGGCGUGCCAUCCAACGUGAACCCGGCGGUGAAGUUGGCCGACAUGGUGGUGUUCGACGUGAAGCAGCUGUAGCUAACAUCACCGUAAAGGCGCAUCUCGCCAUGAUCCAGGGAGAUGUCAAUGACCUCUGCGGCUCCUGAAGGGUUAUCGAUCAUAGGCCUUGGUGGUUGGAAGCUGUCAUUGCAGAUCACAGUGAAGUAGCGGUUGAGGCUGCUCGCGGCACAUCCAUCACCGAUGCCGAAGGGGUAAGGGAUGGUCACGUCGCCGCACUUGUGGGGGCACCCCGGCAGUGAUAUGGCGAUUCCCGACCCCGAUGAGGUGGCCGACACCUCUGUCACUGGGAGGAGGAAGAUGAGCACCAGGACUAAUGCUUCUUGCAUCUGCAUGGCUACUGAGGGCGUCCGAUACCGAGGGGAAAAAAUAAUGCGUUGCUGAUGGAGACGGGCAAGACUGGGGGGUUGACAAGACACACAUGCCUAACAUCCCCUAACGAAGAAGCAAAAUUUGCUAGAUUGUGAGCUUCCCCCGCCCGCGUAAUUUUGCUAGCUGGACUGUUAGCCAAAGAGCCUACUCGUCAAGAAUUGCAUCCAGAGCUGUUGCUGUCACCUUAUACUGCAUACCACAGAAAGAUAGCAUGAAUUUGGUUUAUGAAACCGGAAAUCAGCCUUAACUUGGUGCUUUCAUACACUCAAUCUAUCUUAAUCCAAUCUUUUGG